AGUGGGGAAUAUUGCACAAUGGGCGCAAGCCUGAUGCAGCCAUGCCGCGUGUGUGAAGAAGGCCUUCGGGUUGUAAAGCACUUUCAGUUGUGAGGAAGGUGGUGUCGUUAAUAGCGGCAUCAUUUGACGUUAGCAACAGAAGAAGCACCGGCUAACUCCGUGCCAGCAGCCGCGGUAAUACGGAGGGUGCGAGCGUUAAUCGGAAUUACUGGGCGUAAAGCGCAUGCAGGUGGUUUGUUAAGUCAGAUGUGAAAGCCCGGGGCUCAACCUCGGAACUGCAUUUGAAACUGGCAGACUAGAGUACUGUAGAGGGGGUAGAAUUUCAGGUGUAGCGGUGAAAUGCGUAGAGAUCUGAAGGAAUACCGGUGGCGAAGGCGGCCCCCUGGACAGAUACUGACACUCAGAUGCGAAAGCGUGGGGAGCAAACAGGAUUAGAUACCCUGGUAG
rnacentral:rRNA from 1 species